GACGGGCCCACUUUAAGCCAGUUUAAUUCUUCCGUUUUGAAAAAGUACAGUAAUUUUGCUUUUUCCACCUGCCCACCGUGGGCAGCCCACCCGUGCCCACUCUAGCUAUAAUCUCUUUUUGUGUAGAAAUAGUGAUUACAAAUGCUUUUCUGCUUAUUUCAAGUGAUUGUAGUCAUUGUACUUGCAAGUCUUUAGAUUAAACAAAAGAAAUUGCAUGCCCACUCCUAUGGGUUAGCAGAGUGGACAAGGUAGAAAUUUUGCCCACCCGGUGCCCACUCCCAUGAUGGGCCGGUGGACAAAGCAAAAUCCACCCGAGCUGUAGUGUACUAACGUGCUUAUGUAUAUUUUCAAUGAAAUGGUAAAAUUAGUAUACGUUAAUGAAAUAGCAAUAACCAAAUAACGCUUGAUAUGGACACGUUUUGGGAAUUGGACACGUUUGGGGGUUAGUUGAAAAAUGGACACGUUUGGGCGUUUAUACAAAUGACACGCUUUGGCGCAGUUUUCAACUAGACAU
rnacentral:lncRNA from 1 species